CGGAGCAGCAGCCCUGGUCCAUCGCGCGUCCCAAGAAGAAAUCACAAUGAGGCUCGGAUUUGUCUUCCUCCUCAGCCUCGCGGUUUGCGCCGCACAAACUUCUCAGAGCGAUGUCUACUUUCCAGCUCCUUAUUUUGACGAAGGAGAAAAUUUGAGUAGCGAUAAUUGUGGAAUCGAAUCAUCUCAGAACCAGUCGGCCGUUUUUGUUAAAAACAUUCGUGCUGAAAUAUAUUGCGAGCCAUUUAUAGCUAUUUCUCAAACGACUAUUCUUGGACUAGAAAGAUGCUCUUUCCAUAAAGGUUUUACGGCCGCUGGUUCAUCAGGGGCAUUGUCAGCUCUGGAAUAUCGAGAAAAGUGAUGAUUGAUGGUGAAGAAAGAUCGUUGUGUCACCCGAAUCAAUACUCCUUGUUCACUGACGUCGCAAGUUACAUGGACUGGUUCGUGGAAAACACGCCGGAAAUUUCGUUCCGAAAUUAAUUCAAAAGAAGUUACGAGUUUUGAAUAGAAAAAUUUACAUUGAC